UACGAAGGGGGCUAGCGUUGUUCGGAAUCACUGGGCGUAAAGGGCGCGUAGGCGGCCGAUCAAGUCGGGGGUGAAAGCCUGUGGCUCAACCACAGAAUUGCCUUCGAUACUGUUUGGCUUGAGACCGGAAGAGGUUAGUGGAACUGCGAGUGUAGCGGUGAAAUGCGCAGAUAUCAGGAAGAACACCAAUGGCGAAGGCAGCUCUCUGGGACGGUACUGACGCUGAGACGCGAAAGCGUGGGGAGCGAACAGG
rnacentral:rRNA from 1 species